GCUGGGAUAGCUCAGUCGGUAGAGAAUGCGACUCUUAAUCUCAGAGUUGUGGGUUCAAGUUCCAUGCAUUGCA